UACAGAGGGUGCUAGCGUUGUUCGGAAUUACUGGGCGUAAAGUGCGUCUAGGCGGAUUACCAAGUCUGGUGUGAAAGCCCAGAGCUUAACUCUGGAAGUGCAUCGGAAACUGGUAGUCUUGAGUCCCAGAGAGGAUGGUGGAAUUCCCAGUGUAGAGGUGAAAUUCGUAGAUAUCGAGAGGAACACCGGUGGCGAAGGCGGCCUUCUGGACAGUGACUGACGCUGAGACGCGAAAGCGUGGGGAGCAAACAGG
rnacentral:rRNA from 1 species